rnacentral:lncRNA from 1 species
AAAAAGAAAUUAAAAAAUUUGAGAAUAGAAUCAGUACCUGUUUGUGUUUUCAGUUGUAGGGAGAGGAACGAUCUGAGAGAUGCUUCAAUUUGUUUCCCUGAACUUCGAUUUGGGACCUAGGGUUCGCGAACCACCGAGAGAGAUGACGAAAUUGAGAGAACGAGUGAGAGAUUGUCGUGAUUGAGAGAGUUUCGAAUCGAGAGAGGAAUUGAGGGUUUGUUGUUCUUGAGGGUUUUGUAAAAUCGCGUGACUUACGCCAUUGUUCUUGAGGGUUUGAAGUUGGCGAGAGUAGUAUCAAUCGUGUGAGU